rnacentral:rRNA from 1 species
GAGUUUGAUCCUGGCUCAGAACCAACGCUAGCGGCGUGCCUCAGACAUGCAAGUCGAACGCGAACGUUUCCUUCGGGAAACUAUUAGAGUGGCGCACGGGUGAGUAACACGUAAGUAAUCUACCUUUGGGUGGGGAAUAACAGUCGGAAACGGCUGCUAAUACCGCAUAAUGCAGCGGCUCCGUAUGGAGACAGUUGUUAAAGAAUUUAUUCGCCUAAAGAGGAGCUUGCGGUAGAUUAGCCAGUUGGUGAGGUAAUGGCUCACCAAGGCAACGAUCUAUAGCCGACCUGAGAGGGUGGUCGGUCACACUGACACUGAAUAACGGGUCAGACUCCUACGGGAGGCAGCAGUCGGGAAUUUUGGGCAAUGGGCGAAAGCCUGACCCAGCAACGCCGCGUGAAGGAUGAAGUAUUUCGGUAUGUAAACUUCGUAAAAAUGGGAAGAAUCAAUGACGGUACCAUUUGUAAGGUCCGGCUAACUACGUGCCAGCAGCCGCGGUAAUACGUAGGGACCAAGCGUUGUUCGGAUUUACUGGGCGUAAAGGGUGCGUAGGCGGUUUAUCAAGUCAGUUGUGAAAUCUUAAGGCUUAACCUUAAGCGGUCAACUGAAACUGAUAGACUAGAGUGCAGAAGGGGCAAUCGGAAUUCUUGGUGUAGCGGUGAAAUGCGUAGAUAUCAAGAGGGACACCUGAGGCGAAGGCGGGUUGCUAAGCUGACACUGACGCUGAGGCACGAAAGCUAGGGGAGCGAACGGGAUUAGAUACCCCGGUAGUCCUAGCCCUAAACGAUGAAUACUUGGUGUCUGGAGUUUUAAUUCUCCGGGUGCCGUAGCUACGUGUUAAGUAUUCCGCCUGGGGAGUACGUACGCAGUAAUGAAACUCAAAGGAAUUGACGGGGACCCGCACAAGCGGUGGAGCA